rnacentral:rRNA from 1 species
AGAGUUUGAUCCUGGCUCAGAACGAACGCUGGCGGCGUGCCUAAGACAUGCAAGUCGUGCGAGAAAGCCACCUUCGGGUGGUGAGUAGAGCGGCGCACGGGUGAGUAACGCGUGGAUAAUCUACCCGCAGGUCUGGGAUAACCCCGGGAAACUGGGGCUAAUACCGGAUGAGACCACGGGAUCCUCGGAUCCUGCGGAAAAAGGUGGCCUCUUCAUGAAAGCUACCGCCUACGGAUGAGUCCGCGUCCCAUUAGCUAGUUGGUGAGGUAAAGGCUCACCAAGGCCGCGAUGGGUAGCUGGUCUGAGAGGAUGAUCAGCCACACUGGAACUGAGACACGGUCCAGACUCCUGCGGGAGGCAGCAGUCGGGAAUUUUGGGCAAUGGGGGAAACCCUGACCCAGCAACGCCGCGUGAGGGAUGAAGGCCCUCGGGUCGUAAACCUCUGUCGGAAGGGAAGAAAGGCCUCCGUUCGAACAGGGCGGGGGCUUGACGGUACCUUCAAAGGAAGCACCGGCUAACUCCGUGCCAGCAGCCGCGGUAAUACGGAGGGUGCAAGCGUUGUUCGGAAUCACUGGGCGUAAAGCGCGUGUAGGCGGCUUGGCAAGUCGAGUGUGAAAUCCCAGGGCUCAACCCUGGAACUGCACCCGAAACUGCCUCGCUGGAGUCCCGGAGAGGGUGGCGGAAUUUCCGGUGUAGAGGUGAAAUUCGUAGAUACCGGAAGGAACACCAGUGGCGAAGGCGGCCACCUGGACGGUGACUGACGCUGAGACGCGAAAGCGUGGGGAGCAAACAGGAUUAGA